GACAGAGGGGGGAAGCGUUGCUCGGAAUCACUGGGCGUAAAGGGCGCGUAGGCGGGAUGGCAAGUCGGUCGUGAAAUCCUUCGGCUCAACCGAAGAACGUCGGCCGAUACUGCCGUUCUUGAGGGAUGCAGAGGAGAUUGGAAUUCCCGGUGUAGCGGUGAAAUGUGUAGAGAUCGGGAGGAACACCGGUGGCGAAGGCGGGUCUCUGGGCAUUUCCUGACGCUGAGGCGCGAAAGCGUGGGGAGCGAACAGG
rnacentral:rRNA from 1 species